GAUGAACGCUGGCGGCGUGCCUAAUACAUGCAAGUCGAGCGAACGGACGAGAAGCUUGCUUCUCUGAUGUUAGCGGCGGACGGGUGAGUAACACGUGGAUAACCUACCUAUAAGACUGGGAUAACUUCGGGAAACCGGAGCUAAUACCGGAUAAUCUUUUGAACCGCAUGGUUCAAAAGUGAAAGACGGUCUUGCUGUCACUUAUAGAUGGAUCCGCGCUGCAUUAGCUAGUUGGUAAGGUAACGGCUUACCAAGGCAACGAUGCAUAGCCGACCUGAGAGGGUGAUCGGCCACACUGGAACUGAGACACGGUCCAGACGACUACGGGAGGCAGCAGUAGGGAAUCUUCCGCAAUGGGCGAAAGCCUGACGGAGCAACGCCGAGUGAGUGAUGAAGGUCUUCGGAUCGUAAAACUCUGUUAUUAGGGAAGAACAUAUGUGUAAGUAACUGUGCACAGCUUGACGGUACCUAGUCAGAAAGCAACGGCUAACUACGUG
rnacentral:rRNA from 1 species